AACUAACGCUAGUGGUAUGCCUCAAACAUGCAAGUCGAACGAGAAAGUAUCUUCGGAUACGAGUAAAGUGGCGCACGGGUGAGUAACACGUAACUAACGUACCCUUUCGCUGGGGAUAACUUCGGGAAACCGAAGCUAAUACCGAAUGAUCUGAUAGAGUCUGCGGACUUUAUCGGUAAAGCCUUCGGGCGCGAGAGGAUCGGGUUGCGGCCCAUUAGUUUGUUGGUGGGGUAACGGCCUACCAAGACUACGAUGGGUAACUGGUCUGAGAGGAUGAUCAGUCACACUGGAACUGGAACACGGUCCAGACACCCACGGGUGGCAGCAGUUGGGAAUCUUGGACAAUGGGAGAAAUCCUGAUCCAGCAAUACCACGUGAGUGAUGAAGGCUUUCGGGUCGUAAAGCUCUUUCAGUAGGGAAGAAGGGAAACUUGACGGUACCUACAGAAGAAGCACCGGCUAACUCCG
rnacentral:rRNA from 1 species